CCUACGGGAGGCAGCAGUGAGGAAUAUUGGUCAAUGGACGAGAGUCUGAACCAGCCAAGUAGCGUGAAGGAUGACUGCCCUAUGGGUUGUAAACUUCUUUUAUAUGGGAAUAAAGUGUUCCACGUGUGGGCUUUUGUAUGUACCCUAUGAAUAAGGAUCGGCUAACUCCGUUCCAGCAGCCGCGGUAAUACGGAGGAUCCGAGCGUUAUCCGGAUUUAUUGGGUUUAAAGGGAGCGUAGGUGGAUUGUUAAGUCAGUUGUGAAAGUUUGCGGCUCAAACGUAAAAUUGCAGUUGAAACUGGCAGUCUUGAGUACAGUAGAGGUGGGCGGAAUUCGUGGUGUAGCGGUGAAAUGCUUAGAUAUCACGAAGAACUCCGAUUGCGAAGGCAGCUCACUGGACUGCAACUGACACUGAGGCUCGAAAGUGUGGGUAUCAAACAGGAUUAGAUACCCUUGUAGUC
rnacentral:rRNA from 1 species